rnacentral:rRNA from 1 species
UCUUAGUGGCGGACGGGUGAGUAACGCGUGGGUAACCUGCCUUAUACAGGGGGAUAACACUUAGAAAUAGGUGCUAAUACCGCAUAAGCGCACGGGGCUGCAUGGCCCAGUGUGAAAAACUCCGGUGGUAUAAGAUGGACCCGCGUCUGAUUAGCUUGUUGGCGGGGUAACGGCCCACCAAGGCGACGAUCAGUAGCCGCCUGAGAGGGUGGAGGCCACAUUGGGACUGAGACACGGCCCCAAACUCCUACGGAAGGCAGCAG